AUUGAACGCUGGCGGCAGGCCUAACACAUGCAAGUCGAACGAGUGGCGGACGGGUGAGUAAUGUCUGGGAAACUGCCUGAUGGAGGGGGAUAACUACUGGAAACGGUAGCUAAUACCGCAUACCAUCGGAUGUGCCCAGAUGGGAUUAGCUAGUAGGGGGGGUAAAGGCUCACCUAGGCGACGAUCCCUAGGUGGUCUGAGAGGAUGACCAGCAACAGUGGAACUGAAACACGGUGCAGACUACUGGGGGAGGCAGCAGUGGGGAAUAUGGCACGGUGGGAGGAAGGAUGAAGCAGCCAUGCCGGGUGGAUGAAGAAGGCCUGCGGGUUGUAAAGUACUUUCAGCGAGGAAGCGAUACCCACAGAAGAAGCACCGGCUAACUCCGUGCGAGCCGCCGGUAAUUC
rnacentral:rRNA from 1 species